UAUUGGUUGGAGUUAUUGGUUACUGGGUUGGUGGUGGUGUGCGUGUUGUUGUGUUUGACGUUAAUAAAAGUUCAAUAAUAAUGCUACUCUGACUCUCCCUUCUUUCUCCCUUCUCUUUACUCACUUGCGUGGCAGCUGUUACCCCCAUUUGCCACGUAUCUUCCCCAAAAAUUUUCAAAAAAAAAAAAAAAAAUUUCAUUCUUCGAAUCCAUUUUAUGUUUUCCCCUAAACCGCUAAAUCAUUUGAAGAACAUCAACAGUCAGGUCUUUGAAGAAUGUAGAACACAGUGAUAAUGAAAAGGCAGAGAAAUAUUUCGGGAAGCAAGAAAUAUUCGGGAACCCCACCAUUGUAUUGUUCAUCGAAAGUUUUUGAACCAUUCAUAACAAGUGACGGUGAACGACUGUUGUGAAGACAAGCACCAAUUAGGUGGUUAAACUCAAUGAGAGGUGCUUAAUUCCUUGUGCCAAUUAUCCUGAGUUCUGGAUUCGUUAUGUGAAUUUCAUGGAAAGAAAGGGGGAAGAGAAAUAGCAGACUUUGCAUUGGCGUGACAAUGCAAUUUUUUUCUGAAGAUGUGCAGGGCUGCUGUUUUAUGGACAAUUUCCUAGCAUUUUUUGUGUGUUUGUGAGGAGAAUGUAGAUUUGUCUAGAGCUGCUGUUGUUUUGCAAAAAAAUUAGUGUUUUGCUUGCUGAUUGUAUAUCUUAUGUAUAUAACAGAUCCCUUUUAGGAUAAGUUUCACAACGCUUUACAUAUUUGGUUG